rnacentral:rRNA from 1 species
UACGUAGGGUGCGAGCGUUAAUCGGAAUUACUGGGCGUAAAGCGUGCGCAGGCGGUUGUGCAAGACCGAUGUGAAAGCCCCGGGCUCAACCUGGGAAUGGCAUUGGUGACUGCACGGCUAGAGUGCGUCAGAGGGGGGUAGAAUUCCACGUGUAGCAGUGAAAUGCGUAGAGAUGUGGAGGAAUACCGAUGGCGAAGGCAGCCCCCUGGGAUGACACUGACGCUCAUGCACGAAAGCGUGGGGAGCAAACAGG